GGGUGAGUAACGCGUAGACAACCUACCUUCUAGAUGGGGACAACACUGCGAAAGUGGUGCUAAUACCGAAUGUUGUAUCGAAAGUGCAUACUUUUGCUACUAAAGAUGGCCUCUAUUUAUAAGCUAUCACUAGAAGAUGGGUCUGCGUCUGAUUAGCUAGUUGGUGAGGUAAUGGCUCACCAAGGCCACGAUCAGUAGCCGGUCUGAGAGGAUGAACGGCCACAUUGGGACUGAGACACGGCCCAAACUCC
rnacentral:rRNA from 1 species